CACACCUGUCUGCUUGCCCUCUGACCUCGAUCCACCGGCUGGUACUCCCUGUUUGGUGGCCGGCUGGGGCUCUCUGUAUGAGGACGGACCCUCGGCAGAUGUGGUGAUGGAGGCGAAAGUGCCACUGAUGUCUCAGACCACCUGUCUCAGUGCACUGGGGAAGGAGCUGCUCACAAACACCAUGUUCUGCGCUGGGUACCUGUCUGGAGGCAUUGACUCAUGCCAGGGUGAUUCUGGAGGGCCGUUGAUCUUCCAGGACCGUUUAUCGGGACGGUUUCAGCUGUUUGGCGUCACCUCUUGGGGGGAUGGCUGUGGGGAGAGGGGAAAGCC